rnacentral:tRNA from 1 species
GAAAUAUUAAAAAAUAAGCUUCUAACUUAAAAUAAAGCGAUUUAUAUCGUUUAUAUUUCU